CAUUUGCUUCUCAAGGAGGGCAGGCGUUGGAAGCGACCGUUGUGAAACGUUAAAGAUUUUCUGGCAGAGGGAAAGGGAUUUUUUUCCCUUCCCUCCCUGCCGAGGAAAAAACAGUUCUAACGAGAAGUUACUUUGUAGUUUUAACUCAUAUCCAAAUACUCCCAGGGUAGAAACUGUGGGCGAUCUCCCCCUCCCGGACUCCUGAUUGGGGUUUGGAGGAACUUUUCACGGAGCGCUGUCAUCCCCGGAGCUGGUGGCGAUGAGUCUGCAGAAGAGAGUCUUCCCGAGGAGGGAGAAUGGGACUCAUGAAGUGGCAGCUAAGCCCAGUCCUGUCGCCACCCGUCCACCAAGGGUCAGAGAUCAGGAAAGGAAGAAAGGCAGCUUCACUUCCUCUCUAAGGAUGGAAUCACACAGCCGCUCUGGAAAGAGCAGAAAAUCUGCAAAAUUCCGGUCCAUCUCUCGGUCCCUGAUCCUCUGCCAUGCUAAGACCAGUGACGACGGGUCUAGCCCCGAUGAGAAAUAUCCUGAUCCCUUUGAGUUGUCCCUGGCCCAGGGCAAGGAGGGAAUUUUCCACUCAUCUGUGCAGCUGGCAGAUACAUCGGAGGCUGGACCCAGCAGCAUUCCUGAUCUAGCACUGGCCUCUGAGGCUGCUCAACUCCAAGCAUCUGGGAGUGACCGAGGCAAGAACUGUAGGAGGAUAUUCUUCAUGAAG